UACGUAGGGGGCUAGCGUUGUCCGGAAUCAUUGGGCGUAAAGCGCGUGUAGGCGGUCCGGUAAGUCCGCUGUGAAAGUCGGGGGCUCAACCCUCGAAUGCCGGUGGAUACUGUCGGGCUAGAGUGCGGAAGAGGCGAGUGGAAUUCCUGGUGUAGCGGUGAAAUGCGCAGAUAUCAGGAGGAACACUGGUGGCGAAGGCGGGUCUCUGGGCCGAUACUGACGCUGGAGGAGCGAAAGCGUGGGGAGCGAACAGG
rnacentral:rRNA from 1 species